AUGGCGCGAUGGUUUGAAUAUUCACAUGGUUUUGGAUGUUAUGGUGAGCUUGCCUGUCGUCGUUGGGACGGCAAUUUUUCCACUAUAGAGGUCACCUCUGCGCUACUUGCCAGAACGGUUGUAGCAACUAUUAUCUCUGCUGAUAUUAUUGAAGGGUCAUGGCAUGAUGAUUCUAGAGGUCGUGUGGUUGCCCGUACUGCUGCCAUAGAUAAGGACAUUCUGCUGCUUGACUCUGGAGAAGAACCAUUGAAAGUGGAUCCAGACGGUCGUGUUACCCUUCAAAGAGGCGUUGUUUGCGUGGAACGUCAGGGGAUGCUCACGGUUUCUAUGGAAGCCUACUCAAAGGCAGGUAUUUGUUAUGCAGAUUCUGUUGAAUUCAGGCCCAAAAAGUCUCUCACAAGUAUCGGUAUUUGCAACCUUGGAUUCUGUACGGUGCAGUUCAUUGUUGGUUGGUCCCCAAUGGCAACGAAGUCUGAUCUGAUGUACUUUGGCAACUGA
rnacentral:rRNA from 1 species